GACGAACGCUGGCGGCGUGCUUAACACAUGCAAGUCGCACGAGGACGGGAGCUUGCUCCCGAGCCGAGUGGCGGACGGGUGAGUAACACGUGACCAACCUGUCCCAGGGUGAGGGACAACCUGGGGAAACCCGGGCUAAUACCGCACGAUGUCUCGAGGUCGCAUGGCCAUGAGAUCAAAGAGGGCCUCUGCUUGCAAGCUCUCGCCCAGGGAGGGGGUCGCGGCGUAUCAGCUAGUUGGUGAGGUAACGGCCCACCAAGGCUACGACGCGUAGCGGGUCUGAGAGGACGACCCGCCUCAUUGGGACUGAGAUACGGCCCAGACUCCUACGGGAGGCAGCAGUGGGGAAUAUUGCGCAAUGGACGAAAGUCUGACGCAGCGACGCCGCGUGUGGGAGGAAGCUCUUCGGGGUGUAAACACUGUCAGGAGGGAAGAAACUCGCCGGCCCGAACAGGAUCGGCGAUUGACGGUACCUCCAAAGGAAGCGCCGGCUAACUCCGUGCC
rnacentral:rRNA from 1 species